rnacentral:rRNA from 1 species
CAGUCGCCGCGGUAAUACGAAGGGGGCUAGCGUUGUUCGGAUCUACUGGGCGUAAAGCGCACGUAGGCGGAUCGAUCAGUCAGGGGUGAAAUCCCAGAGCUCAACUCUGGAACUGCCUUUGAUACUGUCGGUCUGGAGUAUGGAAGAGGUGAGUGGAAUUCCGAGUGUAGAGGUGAAAUUCGUAGAUAUUCGGAGGAACACCGGUGGCGAAGGCGGCUCACUGGUCCAUUACUGACGCUGAGGUGCGAAAGCGUGGGGAGCAAACAGGAUUAGAUACCCCUGUAGUCCCUGUCUCUUAUAC